AAUAGAUACCCGGGUACGUCCACGCCGUAAACGAUGAGUGCUAAGUGUUGGGGGGUUUCCGCCCCUCAGUGGCUGCAGCUAACGCAUUAAGCACUCCGCCUGGGGAGUACGGCCGCAAGGCUGAAACUCAAAAGAAUUGACGGGGGCCCGCACAAGCGGUGGAGCAUGUGGUUUAAUUCGAAGCAACGCGAAGAACCUUACCAGGUCUUGACAUCCCGCUGCCCGGUAUAGAGAUAUAUCUUUCCCUUCGGGGACAGCGGUGACAGGUGGUGCAUGGUUGUCGUCAGCUCGUGUCGUGAGAUGUUGGGUUAAGUCCCGCAACGAGCGCAACCCUUGAUCUUAGUUGCCAGCAUUUAGUUGGGCACUCUAAGGUGACUGCCGGUGACAAACCGGAGGAAGGUGGGGAUGACGUCAAAUCAUCAUGCCCCUUAUGACCUGGGCUACACACGUGCUACAAUGGAUGGUACAAAGAGCUGCAAGACCGCGAGGUUUAGCCAAUCCCAUAAAACCAUUCUCAGUUCGGAUUGCAGG
rnacentral:rRNA from 1 species